rnacentral:rRNA from 1 species
GACGAACGCUGGCGGCGUGCCUAAUACAUGCAAGUAGGACGCAGUUGCGAACGGGUGAGUAACGCGUCGGUAACUGCCUAUUAGAGGGGGAUAACUAUUGGAAACGAUAGCUAAUACCGCAUACUAGUAGAUGGACCUGCGUUGUUUUAGCUAGUAGGUAGGGUAAUGGCCUACCUAGGCGACGAUACAUAGCCGACCUGGGAGGGUGAGCGGCCACACUGGGACUGAGACACGGCCCAGACUCCUACGGGAGGCAGCAGUAGGGAAUCUUCGGCAAUGGGGGGAACCCUGACGAAGCAACGCCGCGUGAGUGAAGAAGGUUUUCGGGUCGUAAAGCUCUGUUGUUAAGGAAGCGGUACUUGACCAGAAAGGGACGGCUAACUACGUGCCAGCAGCCGCGGUAAUAC